rnacentral:rRNA from 1 species
CCUACGGGCGGCAGCAGUGGGGAAUAUUGCACAAUGGGGGGAACCCUGAUGCAGCAACGCCGCGUGGGUGAAGAAGUACCCCGGUAUGUAAAGCUCUGUCAGCAGGGAAGAAAAUGACGGUACCUGACCAAGAAGCCCCGUCUAACGACGUGCCAGCAGCCGCGGCAACACGGAGGGGGCAAGCGUUAUCCGGAUUUACUGGGUGUAAAGGGAGCGUAGACGGUAAGGCAAGUCUGGAGUGAAGGCCCGUGGCCCAACCACGGGACUGCAUUGGAUACUGUGUGGCUGGAGUGCAGGAGGGGUAAGCGGAAUUCCUGGUGUAGCGGUGAAAUGCGUAGAUAUUAGGAGGAACACCGGUGGCGAAGGCGGCUUACUGGACUGUAACUGACGUUGAGGCUCGAAGGCGUGGGGAGCAAACAGGAUUAGAUACCCGUGUAGUC